rnacentral:rRNA from 1 species
UACACUCCUGCGGGAGGCAGCAGUGGGGAAUAUUGGACAAUGGGCGCAAGCCUGAUCCAGCCAUGCCGCGUGAGUGAUGAAGGCCCUAGGGUUGUAAAGCUCUUUCACCGGUGAAGAUAAUGACGGUAACCGGAGAAGAAGCCCCGGCUAACUUCGUGCCAGCAGCCGCGGUAAUACGAAGGGGGCUAGCGUUGUUCGGAUUUACUGGGCGUAAAGCGCACGUAGGCGGACUAUUAAGUCAGGGGUGAAAUCCCGGGGCUCAACCCCGGAACUGCCUUCGAUACUGGUAGUCUUGAGUUCGAGAGAGGUGAGUGGAAUUCCGAGUGUAGAGGUGAAAUUCGUAGAUAUUCGGAGGAACACCAGUGGCGAAGGCGGCUCACUGGCUCGAUACUGACGCUGAGGUGCGAAAGCGUGGGGAGCAAACAGGAUUAGAAACCCGUGUAGUCCCAUGAU